rnacentral:rRNA from 1 species
UACGAAGGGGGCUAGCGUUGCUCGGAAUCACUGGGCGUAAAGCGCACGUAGGCGGCUUGUUAAGUCAGGGGUGAAAUCCUGGAGCUCAACUCCAGAACUGCCUUUGAUACUGGCAAGCUUGGAGUCCGGGAGAGGUGAGUGGAACUGCGAGUGUAGAGGUGAAAUUCGUAGAUAUUCGCAAGAACACCAGUGGCGAAGGCGGCUCACUGGCCCGAUAUUGACGCUGAGGCACGAAAGCGUGGGGAGCAAACAGG